UAGGGAAUCUUCCACAAUGGACGCAAGUCUGAUGGAGCAACGGCCGCGUGAGUGAAGAAGGUUUUCGGACCGUAAAGCUCUGUUGUUGGUGAAGAAGGAUAGAGGUAGUAACUGGCCUUUAUUUGACGGUAAUCAACCAGAAAGUCACGGCUAACUACGUGCCAGCAGCCGCGGUAAUACGUAGGUGGCAAGCGUUGUCCGGAUUUAUUGGGCGUAAAGCGAGCGCAGGCGGAAGAAUAAGUCUGAUGUGAAAGCCCUCGGCUUAACCGAGGAAUUGCAUCGGAAACUGUUUUUCUUGAGUGCAGAAGAGGAGAGUAGAACUCCAUGUGUAGCGGUGGAAUGCGUAGAUAUAUGGAAGAAUACCAGUGGCGAAGGCGGCUCUCUGGUCUGCAACUGACGCUGAGGCUCGAAAGCAUGGGUAGCGAACAGGAUUAGAUACCCUGGUAGUCCAUGCCGUAAACGAUGAGUGCUAAGUGUUGGGAGGCUUCCGCCUCUCAGUGCUGCAGCUAACGCAUUAAGCACUC
rnacentral:rRNA from 1 species